UACGGAGGGUGCGAGCGUUUGUCCGGAUUUAUUGGGCGUAAAGAGCUCGUAGGUGGUUUGUCGCGUUGUUCGUGAAAACCGGGGGCUUAACCCUCGGCGUGCGGGCGAUACGGGCAGACUUGAGUACUGCAGGGGAGACUGGAAUUCCUGGUGUAGCGGUGGAAUGCGCAGAUAUCAGGAGGAACACCGGUGGCGAAGGCGGGUCUCUGGGCAGUAAACU
rnacentral:rRNA from 1 species